CGAGCACGCGCGUGUGGCAUAUCAAUAAGCGGAGGAAAAGAAACUAACAAGGAUUCCCUUAGUAACGGCGAGUGAAGCGGGAAGAGCUCAAAUUUGAAAUCUUCAAGGUUCUACCUUGACGAAUUGUAGUUUAUAGAAGUGUUUUCUGUUAGUAGAGUGGCAAAAGUUCUUUGGAAUAGGACAUCAUAGAGGGUGAGAAUCCCGUAUUUGGUCAUUCUUUCUAGCUUUGUGAUACACUUUCAACGAGUCGGAUUGUUUGGGAAUGCAGUCCAAAGUGGGUGGUAAAUUUCAUCUAAAGCUAAAUAUUGGCGAGAGACCGAUAGCGAACAAGUACCGUGAGGGAAAGAUGAAAAGAACUUUGAAAAGAGAGUUAAACAGUACGUGAAAUUGUCAAAAGGGAAGCGUUUGACACCAGUGUUGUUUUUCCGAAAAUCAAUUACGAAUGUUUUGUUUUUGAGGAGUUAUGACUUCAUCGGCUUGCUUCUCUCUUUACGAAACUUUCUUAAUGCACUUUUCGGUUAACAAGUCAACAUCAAUUUCUUUUGUUGUAAAAGGGUAUGAGGAAGGUGGCUUUCUUUUCGGAGAAAGUGUUUAUAGCCUUGUACCUCUGCAAUCGGAGAGAUUGAGGUCUGCAGCGUAGAUCCUUCGGGGUUAGAUACAUUUGUGCUAAGCUAUAGCCUUGUAUAGACAACUUGUUGACUAUGCUCAGUCAUUGUAGCUUACUCGCUUAUGCUAUUUUACCUACGCUUAGGAUGUUGAGUAGCGACAUACGCAC
rnacentral:rRNA from 1 species